rnacentral:rRNA from 1 species
CUACGGGAGGCUGCAGUAGGGAAUAUUGGACGAUGGGCGAAAGCCUGAUCCAGCAACACCGCGUGCACGAUGACGGCCUUCGGGUUGUAAAGUGCUUUUAGAGGAGAUGAGAAAGGACAGUAUCCUCUGAAUAAGCCUCGGCGAACUACGUGCCAGCAGCCGCGGUAAAACGUAGGAGGCAAGCGUUAUCCGGAUUUAUUGGGCGUAAAGCGCGUGCAGGCGGUCUAACAAGUUGGAUGUGAAAGCUCCCGGCUCAACUGGGAGAGGUCGUUCAAUACUGUUAGACUAGAGAAUAGAGAGGGAGGUGGAAUUCCGGGUGUAGUGGUGAAAUGCGUAGAUAUCCGGAGGAACACCAGUGGCGAAAGCGGCCUCCUGGACUAUUUCUGACGCUAAGACGCGAAAGCUAGGGUAGCAAACGGGAUUAGAUACCCGUGUAGUC